rnacentral:rRNA from 1 species
GAUGAACGCUGGCGGCGUGCCUAAUACAUGCCAGUCGAGCGAACGGACGAGAAGCUUGCUUCUCUGAUGUUAGCGGCGGACGGGUGAGUAACACGUGGAUAACCUACCUAUAAGACUGGGAUAACUUCGGGAAACCGUAGCUAAUACCGGAUAAUAUUUUGAACCGCAUGGUUCAAAAGUGAAAGACGGUCUUGCUGUCACUUAUAGAUGGAUCCGCGCUGCAUUAGCUAGUUGGUAAGGUAACGGCUUACCAAGGCAACGAUGCAUAGCCGACCUGAGAGGGGGAUCGGCCACGCUGGAACUGAGACACGGGCCAGACUCCUACGGGAGGCAGCAGUAGGGAAUCUUCCGCAAUGGGCGAAAGCCGGACGGAGCAACGCCGCGUGAGUGAUGAAGGUCUUCGGAUCGGAAAACUCUGUUAUUAGGGAAGAACAUAUGUGUAAGUAACUGUGCACAUCGUGACGGUACCUAAUCAGAAAGCCACGGCUAACUACG